rnacentral:rRNA from 1 species
AACGUACGCUGGCGGCACGCCUAACACAUGCAAGUCGAACGAAGUAGCAAUACUUAGUGGCAGACGGGUGAGUAACAUGUAGGUAUCUGCCCUUUGGCCUGGAAUAACACGAGGAAACUUGUGCUAAUACCGGAUAAGUCUUUACGGAGAAAGCUUUAUGCACCAUUGGAUGAGCCUGCACUUGAUUAGUUUGUUGGUGGGGUAAUGGCCUACCAAGACUGUGAUCAAUAGCUGAUUUGAGAGGAUGAUCAGCCACAUUGGGACUGAGACACGGCCCAAACUCCUACGGGAGGCAGCAGUGGGGAAUCUUGCACAAUGGAGGAAACUCUGAUGCAGCGAUGCCGCGUGAGUGAAGAAGGCCCUUGGGUUGUAAAGCUCUUUCGUCGGGGAAGAAAAUGACUGUACCCGAAUAAGAAGGUCCGGCUAACUUCGUGCCAGCAGCCGCGGUAAUACGAAGGGACCUAGCGUAGUUCGGAAUUACUGGGCUUAAAGAGUUCGUAGGUGGUUGAAAAAGUUAGUGGUGAAAUCCCAGAGCUUAACUCUGGAACUGCCAUUAAAACUUUUCAGCUAGAGUAUGAUAGAGGAAAGCAGAAUUUCUAGUGUAGAGGUGAAAUUCGUAGAUAUUAGAAAGAAUACCAAUUGCGAAGGCAGCUUUCUGGAUCAUUACUGACACUGAGGAACGAAAGCAUGGGUAGCGAAGAGGAUUAGAUACCCUCGUAGUCCAUGCCGUAAACGAUGUGUGUUAGACGUUGGAAAUUUAUUUUCAGUGUCGCAGGGAAACCGAUAAACACACCGCCUGGGGAGUACGACCGCAAGGUUAAAACUCAAAUGAAUUGACGGGGACCCGCACAAGUAGUGGAGCAUGUGGUUUAAUUCGAAGAUACGCGCAGAACCUUACCAACACUUGACAUGUUCGUCGCGACUCUAAGAGAUUAGAGUUUUCGGUUCGGCCGGACGAAACACAGGUGCUGCAUGGCUGUCGUCAGCUCGUGUCGUGAGAUGUUGGGUUAAGUCCCGCAACGAGCGCAACCCUCACUUUUAGUUGCCAUCAUUAAGUUGGGCACUCUGAAAGAACUGCCAGUGAUAAGCUGGAGGAAGGUGGGGAUGACGUCAAGUCCUCAUGGCCCUUACGUGUUGGGCUACACACGAGCUACAAUGGUAUCUACAACAGGAAGCAAGACUGCGAAGUUAAGCAAAUCCCUAAAAGAUACCUCAGUUCGGAUUGCACUCUGCAACUCGAGUGCAUGAAGCUGGAAUUACUAGUAAUCGUGGAUCAGCGUGCCACGGUGAAUGCGUUCCCGGGUCU